UCAAAAGCGACCAGUCUAACGGAACAUGAGCAGAAUAACAGGGUCAGAGGGAGUAUAGUAGGGUUGGGGAAAAAUUAGUGUGAACAGAUUGGAGAAAGGACAGAAGGGUGUUAGUACAAUACUGCUUUAAUGCACGAGACAUAAGUGUGUUUUUACCCUACAUUUACUCAGAAUUAAGUUCUGAUCAGUUAUAUCCUGAUCUGAUCAAUUCAGUUAUGAUCAGUUCUCAUCAGAAUGUUCUGAUCUAAUCAAUUAGUUCCAACCAGAAUAGACUCUGUAAAAGAAGAAGCUGAAGUCAAUGAUUUGCUUAUUGAAGCCAAAAAUGGAGAUGACAAAAAUUGAAGCUGCUUGAAUUGAGAAUUCAGUUGCAGUGCAAAUGUGGUCUGAUCCUCAAGGCAUAUAAAACUCUCAUUAAACACACAUUUUUCGUUUCUGGAAUAUGGAACUAGCAACUCAGGCUGUGUUCGGCAUCAUGGCCGUUUUUCGUUUUUUAAUUUUUUAAUCAAAAAAACAAAAAUAAGGCUGUUCGGGUAUGUUGUUGAAUAAAACGACUUUCGAGGCUUUUUCACAAAAUCGAAGCGGAAAAUCAGAAACCACUAAAAGUGGUUUUGUAAGUUCCGUUUCAGUUUUCUCCUACAAAGAGUACAUUCCUUCUCUCCAAUCUCCAUCUUGGUUCCCGGCAUCGCCUAAUUAUUCUCAAGAUCCAAGGUUCAAGUUGGCUAGUAUAUAGCCUAACUAUUCUCAAGAUUCAAGGUUCAAGUUGGUAUGGAGCCAUGGAGUUCUUCUCGAUCAUCUUCUUCAACAUCCUCUUUUUUUUUUUUUUUUUUUUUUUUAUUUCCCCUUGAAAUCAUCUCCACUGUUUCAUCCUUUUGUUUAUUGGAACUGAAAAUUUUGUUGAUGAAUUGAGUUUGGUAGUUUGUUUGUUCGUCUAAAUUGUUUGUCCAUCUUUGUUCUUUAAUUUUUUUUUUCAAUUGUCGCUGUCGAUUAUUUGAGUUUGGAAUUGGUUUGUCAAUUUUGUAUUUUUUAUUUUGGUGUUGAUGUUUGAAGGAAUAGAUUUUAGUGAAUAGUGGUUGUUAGUCUUAUUACCACUUUCCAAACUGCAUACUGAUAAAAGUUAAUUCGGAGUCAUAGUAUUAGAUUAAUACUACUGAUUGAAUGUGUGAAGUAGUUCCAAUUUCUGGAUUGUUUGAGUAGAGGGAAGUCAAGCUCUAUAUUGUUAAUUUUUUUGUUGAAAUAGUAAGUGGUCAUAAUUAAGAAAAGCCAUAGUGAAUUAGUGACCUAUUAAUUUAGAACGGGAUGUCUUAUGAGAUUAAUCAAUUUAACUGCAAAUGCUUCGUAUUCGACAUAGCGUCCAUAUACAAUUGCUUUUGAUUUUUUAGGUAAAAGCUAGACCUCUUUGAUUUGUAAAGUGCUAAAAUUUUUAGAGGAUCAAAUAGGGAUGACCAUUUUAGGGGACUAUUCAAGAAAACUCAUAAGGUAUAUUCAUCCCUUUUGUUGUUAAUAUAAAAAACUAUCAGAAGCUUGAAUAUCAGCAUAUCCUUGAAUCUGUAUCCUAAAAUACUUAAAUAUAAUAAAUAAUUAUGAUACUAUAAUAAUAAUAACAAUAAUAAUAAUCUCUAUUAUAUAAGCCAACUCCUGAGGGCUUUUUUGUAAAUUAACUUUUCGUGUCCCCCAUUAAAAUUACAAAAACACCCUUCAAUGUUUAACAGUGUACACCAGACCCCACCUCUGAAUUAAACCCCAGGCUCCCUUCAACGCGCUCUCUCUCCUAACUCUAUCGCCCUUUCUUCGUUCAUCUCUCCCGUUCUCUCUCCUCUCACACUUCAAUUUUUUGAAUUGUCUGCUCCUCAGAUCUCUCCCAUUAACCUAUCCACAGCACAAUCAUCAGAGAGUUUACCGGCAUCUUAGGGAGCGCCUUACAGAUCUUUUCUAAACCUUUGUUCGCUGGAGCGGCGGAGAGGAGAGAGGCGAGGAUGACAACGAAGUCGGCGGCCACCGUAUUCUCCACAGCUUCCUUAGCGCAGCCACCGUAUUUUCUUUUCUAUUUCCAUCAGAAGUUCAGAUCUGAAGGCGAAUGCGUUUGUGGAAGGUGUGACACAAAAUCGGCGUCAAAUCGAUGAACUGGAGAGAUCUUCCUGCGUUGAUGGUGGUGAUUUGACGACUGAUGGAGUUCCUAUUGAUUUUUAUCUUAUUAGAUUUGUCAAAGGAUUAAGCUAUAUAUCCGACUAUGUCGCCUUUGAAGGAGAUUGUUGAUGGUAUUCAUAGUUUUGUGGCUAAGGUUGAAGAUGACCUCAAGGUAUCCACGAAAGCUUUUUCGCCCCUAGCCAUGGAAGAACUGCAUAACUAGGGUUCCAGUGAACCAACUCUGCAACUCCAACUUCCUCUCUCCUAAAACCUCACUCUCUCUCCUCAACAACGGCACGAACGAAGCACACUGCUAAGAAUUCCACCGGAUGAAAAGCCCUACCGUUUCCCUUUCUUUGAGAUUGUGAUCCCACCUACGGAACAGAACAAGAAAUUAAAAGGCAUGGGGAAGAAGAACGGGGAGUCAGGAUCUGCAGUUGGGAUGAGCAACUCUUUGAGUAAGGUAUUUCAGAGUUGUAGUGCAUGGCUGGAUAAGUUAAUGAAGCAUAAGCGUGGCUGGGUUUUUAAUACCCCUGUUGAUGUGAAGGCCCUUGGUUUACAUGAUUAUUUCACAGUAAUUAAGCAUCCAAUGGACUUGGGUACUAAUCUAAAUACCAACUGGUACAAAUAUCCCAAGGACUUGAGUUUGAUUGAUCGAAUUUAGGAAUUUAUAUUUUAGUACUAAGAUUUAGAUUCUUUGUCAUGUAAAGGCAUGAUUACUCGGUUUCACUAUUUAGAUGUAUAAUCGUAUAAUAUUAAUUUUUUAAAAUACGAACUUUGUGAACAUUUAUUUUUAUCUAAUAUUUAUAUUUA